rnacentral:rRNA from 1 species
AACGAACGCUGGCGGCAGGCCUAACACAUGCAAGUCGAGCGGACCCUUCGGGGUUAGCGGCGGACGGGUGAGUAACGCGUGGGAAUAUGCCCUUCUCUACGGAAUAGUCCUGGGAAACUGGGGGUAAUACCGUAUACGCCCUUUGGGGGAAAGAUUUAUCGGGGAAGGAUUAGCCCGCGUUGGAUUAGGUAGUUGGUGGGGUAAUGGCCUACCAAGCCGACGAUCCAUAGCUGGUUUGAGAGGAUGAUCAGCCACACUGGGACUGAGACACGGCCCAGACUCCUACGGGAGGCAGCAGUAGGGAAUCUUAGACAAUGGGGGCAACCCUGAUCUAGCCAUGCCGCGUGAGUGAUGAAGGCCUUAGGGUUGUAAAGCUCUUUCAGCUGGGAAGAUAAUGACGGUACCAGCAGAAGAAGCCCCGGCUAACUCCGUG